rnacentral:rRNA from 1 species
GAUGAACGCUGGCGGCGUGCCUAAUACAUGCAAGUCGAGCGAACGGACGAGAAGCUUGCUUCUCUGAUGUUAGCGGCGGACGGGUGAGUAACACGUGGAUAACCUACCUAUAAGACUGGGAUAACUUCGGGAAACCGGAGCUAAUACCGGAUAAUAUUUUGAACCGCAUGGUUCAAAAGUGAAAGACGGUCUUGCUGUCACUUAUAGAUGGAUCCGCGCUGCAUUAGCUAGUUGGUAAGGUAACGGCCUACCAAGGCAACGAUGCAUAGCCGACCUGAGAGGGUGAUCGGCCACACUGGAACUGAGACACGGUCCAGACUCCCACGGGAGGCAGCAGUAGGGAAUCUUCCGCAAUGGGCGAAAGCCUGACGGAGCAACGCCGCGUGAGUGAUGAAGGUCUUCGGAUCGUAAAACUCUGUUAUUAGGGAAGAACAUAUGUGUAAGUAACUGUGCACAUCUUGACGGUACCUAAUCAGAAAGCCACGGCUAACUACGUG